GGGGCUGCCUCCUCUGUUUACAGUGGAGCAGCCCGACAGGUUAAUAAAAACUUGCUUGCCCGACUCUGGGGUCUACUCGUUCCUUCUCUUGGCUAACCCUACAUUUUGGUGCCAAAACCCGGGAAGGGCCACUCUCCCCUUCCUGAACCUGCCAAAGACCUGGAGGAUUUAUUGGACACUCCCAUUGUUGGCAACUUCAUUCAUCACUAGAGUCUACACAGGGAAGAAAAGGAGAGUGUGGCUCAUGGCCCAAGCACACGCUAAUUACCUCUAUCAGCAAGAUCCUUCUAAGCCAGUAGGGGCCACGGCAGUCCCCUGAGAAGAGCCCCCCUGGGAAUACCAACCCACAGACCCUAGCUGGGCAUCCUGUAACCAUAUGAUUACUUGCUUCAUCGCAGGCCUUAACAAAGCUGCCCAUAAAGCUGUAAAUUUUGAAAAAGUCAAAGAGAUUUCCCAGAGGGCAGAUGAAAGUCCUGCUGAAUUUCUCUCCCGCCUUACAGAGGCUCUCCAAAAAUACACCCGUGUAUUCCUACUUCCCGAGAAGAGACUAUAGUACUUAAUACCCAUUAUAUCUCCCAAUCAGCUCCCGACAUCUGGCACAAACUCUAAAAGCUAAAGAAGGCCCUCAAACCCCACAACGAGACCUUCUCAACCUGGUUUUCAAAGUCUUCAAUAAUAGGGAUGAGCAGGAAAAAAUAAAUAAGGCCCAAUGAGAUUGUGCCAAAUACCAGCUACUAGCCAUGGCUAUUUGCCAACCUGGCAAUAGCACCCAAGGGCACAAAGGACCCGAUAGCAGUCUUCCUCCUGCUUUAAGAGUGGCAAAGAAGGCCACUGGGCAUGGGCAUGUCCUAACCCAUGAGUACCGAAAAGCUCCUGCCCAGUCUGCCAAGAAACAGGCCACUGGAAAUCUGACUGCCCUCUUAACCCGCAAACAGAAAAGCCUGGCCCCCCGAGCCACUGUCCCCUCAUCAAGCUGAAGAGUAGAUAAUCACUCAUACUCCUGCAACUCCUUGGCCUGGCCACUGAAGACUGACGGGGCCCAUGGCCCCAGCACCCUCUGCCAUCACUGCAUUGGAGCCCAGGGUAACUCUACUAGAGGCAGAUUAUAGAGGGCUCCUGCACCUGACCCACCCACAGCCAAUCCACCAAUUGUCGUCCACAAAUAUCUCAGCACCCCCAUCGGAUGAACCCAGCUUCGCCUUACUCAUAUUUCAGAAGAACCACUUUCCACCUGAAGCUAUAAAAGAUAAGUAACACCCAACUUAAUCUUCAACAUCUCCUCUACCUCUACCCGACCAUCCAUAAUGGAAGUCUUUCACUAUGCCACCAUCGCAAUAAGCAGCAUUCUAACCAUACUCUUUGCAGUUGGAUUAUAUACUGUAGCACCUUAAUAGGCAAAAAUCCCAGUCACUCUAACCUCUUGCCUAUCCAUUAUCCUCAUAACUGGAGUCACAGUUUAUAAUAAUCACCACUCUUAAAUGCCCUGUCCAUGCCUACAUUGCCACUUCACCCUCUUCCUCACCUCUGUUUGCCAAGAUAGUUUUUGGUUUUAUCCCCAAGCUCCCACUUUCAACUCUCUUUUACAGUGGAUAGAUGAUCUUCUCUUCCAAGGUGCCUUGUGCGAUUUUUCUCCAGAUGAAAUGCACUUCUUUACUUUCCUACUUCCCUUUGCCUGUCUACCCCUUCUACUCCUCCACACUCUAGCUCUCGUUCCCCCACCAAUGCCUAACUAACCUCACAAAACCCUAAAUCUUACACUCUUAAACAGGCCAUUCCUACCCUAGCCAGUGACUGCUGGUUCUGCUUCUAUCUAUCAACUACAGCUUACACCGCAAUUCCUGCUUCAACCCAUGGCUGGGUUUUUACUCAAGUAACUUUCCACCCCCAUUAUGAACUGGGCAGUCUCUACCAAUACCCAGAUUUACAGUCCUUAAUACAUCUCUCCAAUUCCUAUUCUGAAACAAACCUCUCACCACAAUAGGGCAGGCAGUUCUGCUAAUGUGCCCCUAUUUCAAUUAUCUAGCCCCUUAUACCAACCAUACCAAGCCAAUCCUCAGAACCAUAAUCACUAACAUUUUCUUAACUUCUCAAGCCCCUCUAUGCAUCCAGCGCCAUCACCCCUCAGGUCACCUCUUAGGGCACCUGCCUUCAAAUCACUGGAAUUUCACUGUGCAACUCCAAGGCCCAAUUGACCAUAUUAGCCUUCCCAUCUUUAGGGUCACCAUGUACUUUCCUGCCCCCUCCAAAAAAAUUAAUAUCACUCUACUAUAAAACAUAAAUUCAGGUUACUGCAAUGGAAGACACCUACCCUGCCUAUCCCUUCAACCCUGGACUCCAUCUCCCUGUGAGGUUCACCGCCCCCCACCACAAACAAAUGUCUCCUAAUUCCUCUAUUAAACAAUAACCACAGCCUUCUGAUAGACAAAAAAUGGUUUCUCCUCCACUUGGAAAACAUAAAUUCAGGUUCAACCCAACUGUCUCCCAAUACCCCCUUACAGCCACUCAACACAGCUGCCUUAGCAAGCACCCUAGGAGCAUGGAUAUACAAAGACCACAAGCUUACACAUCUUUUUAACAUACACAACCAAUUUUACUUACCUAGCCAAGGCAUAUUCUUCCUGUGCGGUACCUCCACCUACCUCUGCUACCCUAUCAACUGGACUGGUACCUGUACUCUGGUUUUUCUAAGCCCAAAAAUCGACAUUGUCCCAGGAAACAAAACCUACCUAUCCCUGUAAAAACUCAAGUGUGCCAAUGCAGGGCCGUUCAGUUAAUACCCAUCCUAGUACGACUAGGAAUGACUACUGCAGUUGGAACCGGAGUGGUCGGGCUUUCUACUUCCCUCAUGUACUAUUGCUCCCUCUCACAAGAUCUUACAAACAGUUUGGAAGACUUACCUAAUACUGUUUCAACCCUCCAAUCACAGAUAGACUCCUUAGCAGCAGUUGUCCUUCAAAAUCGCAGAGGCCUUGGUUUGCUCACUGCUGAAAAAGGAGGGCUCUGCAUCUUUUUAGAUGAACAGUGCUGCUUUUAUCCCAAUAAAUCAGGCCUAGUUCAAGAUGCAGUAAAAAAACUCAAAGAUUGAGCCCAAAAAAUAAAAGAAAACACAUCUGCUACCUGGUCCCUCUGGUCCUCAUGGUCCCUCAGCUCCUGGGUUCCCUGGCGACUACCCCUCCUUGGCCCAGCUAUAACCAUCUUUCUUCUGUUAGCUUUUGGACCCUGCUUCAUGUGUCUCCUUAUCCAGUUUUUACAGGACCACAUCAAAACCUUCACCCAUGGAACAGUGCGAGGUAUACUGCUGCUUCAAGCAUACCAGCGGCUUCAAGAACAACCAUCCCAAGCCCCCCAAGCCUUUCCCCUUGCACACCGCCCCUCUACAGCUAGAAGCAGUCAGAUGAUAAAGUCACUCCUCUUCCUUUAUCACCUAUUAAAGGCUGGAAUGUUAGAGAGCCAAGCUACCCCUCCUCCUCCUCCAUGACCUUUGCAAUACGGUCCUUUGUGACCACCUACAAACACCUCCCCACUUUUUCUACAGCCACUUCUGCAAGACUUUCAGUAGAACUGGUAAACAGUUCCAGGAUGUGGUUAAGACAUCUGCCCACCUUGCCUAGCCAAGCUUGCCUAGCCAAGCAGGCAAAAACAUUUCCAGGAAAUGGUUGAAACACCUGCAACUCUACUCAGUUUCCCCCACCCCAACCUAGCACCUUGCCCUAUAAAACCCCACAGCAGCCUGUAAGCGGGGCUACCUCCUCCACAGUGGAGCAGCCCAGCAGGUUAAUAAAAACUUGCUUGCCUGA